CAAAAUUAUUACUGCUUGACAAGAACAAGCGCGCCGUGCACAUAGAAAAAUACGUGCAAUUCGAUUAAUUAUGGGCCUCAAUGGGACCUACCUGGGGUGAAGUCAUGAGCGCGGACUCGUCAGCGUGGUCUCCGCGUUUCGCCCGAUUUUUCUUCAAGCGAAAAAAUUCUGGAUCUAGAAGUCUGGUCUGAGACAAGCCGGCGCUUGUUCUUGCCGGCGAGCGAGAAGGAAAAGAGGGAGGGUCGGAGGCGCUCGGCCGGUCGCCCACACACUCUCUCGCUUUUUGCAUUCCUCUGUCAACACAAUAAGUCCUUGGAAAGGAAAAAUGACAACAUUCAGCUCGCCGGAUUGCGGAAUGACGGGAUCGAAACAGGAAUGAGCGAAAAUCGUAGCAAGGAAUGCAAGGAUCAAAGUGCGGCCAGCGUAACACAGACAGUAUAUAUAUUUGGCCAAACCGGAUGACAGACGACUGGAAUGCGCAGCUACUGGACACUCAGGAAUGCGAUGAAGACAACACAAGAAGAGAGACUGACAGCCCGGUCGGAAGUAAGACAUCAAUUGCUGACGGCAAGGAUGAUUUUAGGUAAAUUGGAUUGAUUUUCUCCUUUCUUUUCGAGCCGCCCUUCGAUUUUCAUCCUUCCAUCCACUCGCCGUGUUUUCCUUUCCAAGCGGCUACUUUUUUCCGCCCGCGCGUCGUCCACAGUAAAGAAUUCCCUUUGAGCCGCGCCAGAUGAAAAGACUGCGGCCCAAUUUCAUUUGGUCCCUGCGAAUAAGAGAGCCGAGGACUUUCCAAGGUGCUGUCUAGUUUUUUUUAACGCUUUGUACGCACUUCUGAGAAGAAGCAACUUGCCAGAGAGUCAAAAUAAAGAAGACUUCUUUAUUCAUUUUAAACUUUUUCCAGCAAUCUCAAGAUAAAAAUUCCUCUCCGAUUUCCUUAAUGAUUGGAAUUUCUUAGGAUAUAGUAGCAUCAAGAAAGUUGUUUUAUGUUGAGUUUUUGCUGUACAAAUUGAAA